ACACCGUUGGUGAAACGGUAUCAUGCGUCGUUGCCACUUAAGGAUCUCGGUUCUUCAAGUUCGAUGCGGCAAGGGUUCGACUCCCUUACGGUGUA